AUUUUCCGCAAUGGGCGCAAGCCUGACGGAGCGACGCCGCGUGGAGGAUGACGCCCUUCGGGGUGUAAACUCCUUUUCUGGGGGACGAAGGACUGCCGGUACCCCAGGAAUAAGCACCGGCUAACUACGUGCCAGCAGCCGCGGUAAGACGUAGGGUGCGAGCGUUGUCCGGAGUUACUGGGCGUAAAGGGCGCGUAGGCGGCUACUCGCGUCGCACGUGAAAGCCCCCGGCUCAACCGGGGAGGGUCGUGCGAUACGGGGUGGCUGGAGGCAGGGAGAGGCUGGUGGAAUUCCCGGAGUAGUGGUGAAAUGCGUAGAGAUCGGGAGGAACACCGGUGGCGAAGGCGGCCAGCUGGCCCUGACCUGACGCUGAGGCGCGAAGGCGUGGGGAACGAAC
rnacentral:rRNA from 1 species